UUGAACGCUGGCGGCAGGCCUAACACAUGCAAGUCGAGCGGAUGAAGGGAGCUUGCUCCUGGAUUCAGCGGCGGACGGGUGAGUAAUGCCUAGGAAUCUGCCUGGUAGUGGGGGAUAACGUCCGGAAACGGGCGCUAAUACCGCAUACGUCCUGAGGGAGAAAGUGGGGGAUCUUCGGACCUCACGCUAUCAGAUGAGCCUAGGUCGGAUUAGCUAGUUGGUGGGGUAAAGGCCUACCAAGGCGACGAUCCGUAACUGGUCUGAGAGGAUGAUCAGUCACACGGGAACUGAGACACGGUCCAGACUCCUACGGGAGGCAGCAGUGGGGAAUAUUGGACAAUGGGCGAAAGCCUGAUCCAGCCAUGCCGCGUGUGUGAAGAAGGUCUUCGGAUUGUAAAGCACUUUAAGUUGGGAGGAAGGGCAGUAAGUUAAUACCUUGCUGUUUUGACGUUACCAACAGAAUAAGCACCGGCUAACUUCGUG
rnacentral:rRNA from 1 species